AUAUAGUGUUUUGGUUAUGGUUACACCAUUCGUGUUUAAAAGGGAAUCCAGUGAAAUUCUGGAACUGUACCCGCAACUGUAAUUGUGACGAACGAGAUGAUUCCACUGUUUGAGAUGUCUAUUGAGCAAAUGGGAAGGACUCUAGUAGAAAGACCAAAAGUCAGGAUACCUGCCAUAACUUGUAGUUUCCA
rnacentral:ncRNA from 2 species